rnacentral:rRNA from 1 species
AUUGAACGCUGGCGGCAUGCCUUACACAUGCAAGUCGAGCGGCAGCGCGGGGCAACCCUGGCGGCGAGCGGCGAACGGGUGAGUAAUACAUCGGAACGUGCCCAGUAGUGGGGGAUAACCUCUCGAAAGAGAGGCUAAUACCGCAUACGACCUACGGGUGAAAGCGGGGGACCGCAAGGCCUCGCGCUAUUGGAGCGGCCGAUGUCGGAUUAGCUAGUUGGCGGGGUAAAAGCCCACCAAGGCGACGAUCCGUAGCUGGUCUGAGAGGACGACCAGCCACACUGGAACCUGAGACACGGUCCAGACUCCUACGGGUGGCAGCAGUGGGGAAUUUUGGACAAUGGGCGCAAGCCUGAUCCAGCCAUGCCGCGUGAGUGAAGAAGGCCUCGGGUUGUAAAGCUCUUUCGGCGGGACGAAACGGUCCGUGCCAACACCACGGACUAAUGACGGUACCCGCAGAAGAAGCACCGGCUAACUACGUGCCAGCAGCCGCGGUAAUACGUAGGGUGCAGGCGUUAAUCGGAAUUACUGGGCGUAAAGCGUGCGUAGGCGGUUUGUUAAGACAGGUGUGAAAUCCCUGGGCUUAACCUGGGAACUGCGCUUGUUACUGCAGACUUGAGUGUGGCAGAGGGGGGUGGAAUUCCAGGUGUAGCAGUGAAAUGCGUAGAUAACUGGAGGAACACGAUGGCGAAGGCAGCCCCUGGGCUAACACUGACGCUGAUGCACG